AGUCGAGCGGGGGAGGUUGCUUCGGUAACUGACCUAGCGGCGGACGGGUGAGUAAUGCUUAGGAAUCUGCCUAUUAGUGGGGGACAACAUUCCGAAAGGGAUGCUAAUACCGCAUACGCCCUUACGGGAGAAAGCAGGGGUAUUCUUCGAACCUUGCGCUAAUAGAUGAGCCUAAGUCGGAUUAGCUAGUUGGUGGAGCUAAAGGCCUACCAAGGCGACGAUCUGUAGCGGGUCUGAGGAGGAUGAUCCGCCACACUGGGACUGAGACACGGCCCAGACUCCUACGGGAGGCAGCAGUGGGGAAUAUUGGACAAUGGGCGGAAGCCUGAUCCAGCCAUGCCGCGUGUGUGAAGAAGGCCUUUUGGUUGUAAAGCACUUUAAGCGAGGAGGAGGCUCUUAAGGUUAAUACCCUUGGUGAGUGGACGUUACUCGCAGAAUAAGCACCGGCUAACUCUGUGCCAGCAGCCGCGGUAAUACAGAGGGUGCGAGCGUUAAUCGGAUUUACUGGGCGUAAAGCGUGCGUAGGCGGCUGAUUAAGUCGGAUGUGAAAUCCCUGAGCUUAACUUAGGAAUUGCAUUCGAUACUGGUCAGCUAGAGUAUGGGAGAGGAUGGUAGAAUUCCAGGUGUAGCGGUGAAAUGCGUAGAGAUCUGGAGGAAUACCGAUGGCGAAGGCAGCCAUCUGGCCUAAUACUGACGCUGAGGUACGAAAGCAUGGGGAGCAAACAGGAUUAGAUACCCUGGUAGUCCAUGCCGUAAACGAUGUCUACUAGCCGUUGGGGCCUUUGAGGCUUUAGUGGCGCAGCUAACGCGAUAAGUAGACCGCCUGGGGAGUACGGUCGCAAGACUAAAACUCAAAUGAAUUGACGGGGGCCCGCACAAGCGGUGGAGCAUGUGGUUUAAUUCGAUGCAACGCGAAGAACCUUACCUGGUCUUGACAUAGUAAGAACUUUCCAGAGAUGGAUUGGUGCCUUCGGGAACUUACAUACAGGUGCUGCAUGGCUGUCGUCAGCUCGUGUCGUGAGAUGUUGGGUUAAGUCCCGCAACGAGCGCAACCCUUUUCCUUAUUUGCCAGCACUUCGGGUGGGAACUUUAAGGAUACUGCCAGUGACAAACUGGAGGAAGGCGGGGACGACGUCAAGUCAUCAUGGCCCUUACGACCAGGGCUACACACGUGCUACAAUGGUCGGUACAAAGGGUUGCUACCUAGCGCAUAGGAUGUCUAAUCUCAAAAAGCCAAUCGUAGUCCGGAUUGGAGAUCUCCAACUCGACUCCAUGUGAAGUCGGAAUCGCUAGUAAUCGCGGAUCAGAAUGCCGCGGUGAAUACGUUCCCGGGCCUUGUACACACCGCCCGUCACACCAUGGGAGUUUGUUGCACCAGAAGUAGCUAGCCUAACUGCAA
rnacentral:rRNA from 1 species